rnacentral:misc_RNA from 1 species
GCUGUAAGUACCUCAACAAUGUGAUUUUUGUUAUCUUGAAACUGAAUCAUCUUCAUGUCUUCUUCCAGCUGUGCUUUCCAGCUGACAAGAUGAGUCUCAUCUUCUGGUGGUUUGAUCUCAAUAUUGUAUGGGAAUACCAUGGUGAGUCUUUCAUCUACUUCUCUGCAAUCAUCUUCUUGUUCCACCAUAUGGGAACCAAGUAUCAAAAUUGAACCCGAAAGUUUCUUCAAGAAUUUACUGAACAAGUUGUACAUCCUUUCUGAUUGGAGAAGAACCUUCUCAACGUCCCUAAGAUAUAAAAUGACAGAACUUCUUUCUGAUAUUGAAAUCAAUACCUUGUAAAGUGAUUGCAGAAAGAGUUUCUCGUCAAAACACCAGCCACUUGCUCGCUUGAGAGAAGCUGGAUUUGUGGAAGCAGAUUGGGAGGCAAUGCUACUCAUGUCAGAGGCAGCAGAGGCAUUUCUGCGAAGUUUGGAAUGAUUAUUCAAACCUUCGAUACUUCUUG